AAUCAACGCUGGCGGCGUGCCUCAGACAUGCAAGUCGAACGAUUAAAGCUCUCUUCGGAGAGUGUAUAGAGUGGCGCACGGGUGAGUAACACGUAAGUAAUCUACCUUUGAGUGGGGAAUAACCCGGGGAAACCCGAGCUAAUACCGCAUAAUGCAGCGGCACCGCAAGGUGACAGUUGUUAAAGGAGCAAUCCGCUUAAAGAGGAGCUUGCGGCAGAUUAGCAGUU
rnacentral:rRNA from 1 species